AGCGAACGCUGGCGGCAGGCUUAACACAUGCAAGUCGAACGAACCCUUCGGGGGUUAGUGGCGGACGGGUGAGUAACACGUGGGAACGUGCCCUUAGGUUCGGAACAACACAGGGAAACUUGUGCUAAUACCGGAUAAGCCCUUACGGGGAAAGAUUUAUCGCCUUUGGAGCGGCCCGCGUCUGAUUAGCUUGUUGGUGAGGUAAAGGCUCACCAAGGCUACGAUCAGUAGCUGGUCUGAGAGGANGGCCAGCCACAUUGGGACUGAGACACGGCCCAAACUCCUACGGGAGGCAGCAGUGGGGAAUCUUGCGCAAUGGGGGAAACCCUGACGCAGCCAUGCCGCGUGGAUGAUGAAGGUCUUAGGAUUGUAAAAUCCUUUCAGCGGGGACGAUAAUGACGGUACCCGCAGAAGAAGCCCCGGCUAACUUCGUGCCAGCAGCCGCCGCGGUAA
rnacentral:rRNA from 1 species